rnacentral:lncRNA from 1 species
CAAUUAUUAAAGGUGUGCUAAUAGAUGGAACAUAAGCAGAUUCAAAAAAAUAUGGUUCAGAAUUUAUGCAAUGCAUGCUAGAGCCACAAAGAAUUUCGAGAUGAUUUUCUUCUUCCGUUAUUUCAGAGACCUUGCUUAUUUUAACUUCACACUUUUCUUUAAUAUUAAUAACAUUAUUCUUAAAUGCUCUCACACAUUUCUCCCUCAUACUCAAAUUCCAUUUAAGAAUUUGUUCAGCUUUUAUGCGGCUUUCCGCAUCACCCAUAUUUUUUAGGUGUAGAGAGAUUUGUUGAAUCCACUGUUCCUUGUUUCCUUUUAAAGUGAAAUAAUUUUUAACAUCUUUUGCGACUGCACGAUUUUUCAGUUUUUUUCUCUUUUCAAAAUUAAUUGAGCGAGUUCUGUUAAGUGCAUAACGAAAUUUUGUUUUUCUAUUGAUGGCCAAAUUAACUUUCUUUUGAUAAUAAGCAAUGCGAUUUUUCUGCUGAAUAUUCAGCAAAUUCUUUUUAUAUAAUUGCAUCAUUCUUUCUUUCGCAGGAUAUGAAUUUUCUUGAUAGCAAAUUCUUUGCCUCUGUUUGAUCGGCGAUGGGUUUUUCUGAUAUGAUUUUCGCAUCCUUUCUUUCACCGGGGAUGGAUUUUCCUUAUAUGACUUUCGUACCCUUUCUUUCACCGGGGAUGGGUUUUCUUG